UAUCUAAGGAUAUGAACAAUUGAAUUAAUGAGAGUUUUUCAUUUAAAUAAAGCCUUAAGAAUCACUAGAUUUUGUACUAAAUGUGUGGUAAGAGAUGAAAUAUGUCUUUUAACAGCUUGAAUAAAAGCCCUCUUCAUAAGGAACACCACUGUGAAGAAUGUAUUAAUAAGUAGCCUAAGGAUGAUGCUGAAAGACUAGAGUAUAUUUAGAGAGUCAUCUUACCAGCACAUGCCUGAAUACAUUUGUCAUAUUCCAUCACAAAAUACACUUAAGAUUCAUGAAGUUUCCUGUGUAUAAAUCAUGCCUCAAUAAAGCACUAGCAGCAAAAAGAGAGAGAAAAAAAGCACUUGCAGUCAAGAAUAAGACAUCUCUCUAGAAUGCACACUGAAAGCUACCUUGCCCUAGACCACUCGUCUUCCCAGGAGAACUACAUCCCAGGACUGCUUGAGGAGGGAGAGUAAAGGUCUGACUUGGAAUAGCUCAAAAGGGCCAGUUCAGCUCCAGAAUUCCUAAUGAGUCCUAGAAUCAGCCAUCUCUCCAAGGAGGCUUGGUUCCGCUUAUUGGCAAAUGGUAUCAGAAAGCAAUAUCUUGGUGCUCAGUGUGCUCACUUGGAUGUCAGUGCUUCUAAAACCUCCCAGAUGACAGAGUAAGGGGUUACAUGUGUGUAUACUAAUCCCUAUAUGUGCACUUCUCCAUGUAAGCAUCUGUAUCCAUAGUAAGAAAAAUAUGAGUCCACAUUAAUGUUUCCAAAUCUAAUUAAGUAUCAUUUAAAUCAUUCUGGUCUUUCCUCCUUGCUAAUUUGUAAUGACCCACACUAAUAGUAAGACUACUGGUUCCCAGCACCUACCAUCCAUUCACUUAAUUAUUUAAUUCUGGUAUGCAAAAAAAAAAAACUGUAUCAGAAUUUA